rnacentral:rRNA from 1 species
UACGGAGGGUGCGAGCGUUGUCCGGAAUCACUGGGCGUAAAGGGCGCGUAGGUGGCGCGGGCAGUCAACGGUGAAAGUUCGGGGCUCAACCCUGAAUCGGCCGUCGAUACUCCCGGGCUUGAGCACUGUAGAGGCUAAUGGAAUUCCGGGUGUAGCGGUGGAAUGCGUAGAGAUCCGGAAGAACACCGGUGGCGAAGGCGGUUAGCUGGGCAGUUGCUGGACACUGAGGCGCGACAGCGUGGGGAGCAAACAGGG